CAGAGCCUGAGGCUGAUGCCUGUGGGGCAAUUUCAGGGGAGCACAGAGAGGGGGCCCCAGCCAGCCGUUUGCAAACAGAGGCAGGGUCAGGCCAAACCGCAGGGACAGGGGGCAGGUGCAGCAUGGAGUCUGAGGUCUGGGCCUGGGCUCAGCCUGUUUCAGCUGCUGCGCAGUUGCUUUCUGCAGAGGGGACGCGUCCCCCCCUCCACCCACGAGUGCGUUCGCAUGCGGGGCACUGCUCCCGGCUGAGACCAGGGUUUGGCUCUGUGUCUCAUUCCCAGCUCUCAGCUGCUGCGCCUUAGUGGUGUUCCCAUUCCUCCCUCACGGCAGCGGCCCUGUGGUUUCAGGGGAGAGCGGGGGACCCGUCCCUGGGGACGGACUCCUGCUUGCUCCCAAGGGGCAUCUUGGCAGGGCGGACGUUGGAAGCUGAACACAGAGGAAGCAUCUGGAAGCGGAGCUCUUGGCCUCAGCCCUCCUGUCCUGGAUGCUGAUGGGAGUUCAUGCUGGGAAAUCCUCUCUGGUGGUCUGGGGAUGCUGAGCCGCUGAGGAUGUCUUUGUGGAGGUGAAGAUUUCUCUGUGACUUCAUUUCUAACCGCCUUGGCCAACUUUCAUUCACAGCCCGUGUAUUCCCCAGAGUGGGCGGGAGACUGCAGGGCUGUCUGGGGAGGAUGGUGUCUCCUGGGUUUGCCCCUGGCCUGUCAUCCCACCCAGAUGAAGGCAGGUUCUUGAAAGUCCCCUCCAAAUCACAGGUGUAGCAUUUGUCAAGAAGGAGGCAGAGAAGCUUGCGGAGGAGUGAGCUCAGGGAGGAAUUCAUGCCAGGAAGACGUGGCCUCAAGGUGGACGCCUUCCUCUCCUGCCUGGGAAUAGACAGGUCCAGCCAGCAGCAGGACAAGGCUUCACCCAUCAGGAGCCAACGUGGGGCUGGGGAGGCGGCAUCCGCCUGUCUGCCCAUGUUCCCAGGAGCACCCCAAGGCCUCCACCUGUGGCUGCGGGCUUUGCAGCUGGAGCUCCAGCCCUUCUCUCCAGCAGGGAAGGGGUGUCUUCCGUCUCAGUGUGAACGCCAUUCAUAGGGAAGUGUUCCCUAUCCGUGAAUGGGGGGUGAGUGAUACGUAACACAUGCAGAAAUAGACUUACGCUCAAGUGUGUUCUGAGGGUGGAGAGAGCUCUAUUUAAGCUGCAUGUGAAGUGGGCUGGCUUCUGCCAGAUGGAAUCCUGGGUGACACUGAGCAGAGUGUGUUCUGCUCACGGAGGACGGAGGUUAAUUGAGUGAGUUGGAGAGCAGGCUGCUGGGCAGUGCUGGGGGGUGAAUGUCAGUUCUCACCGUGCGCUCGCUCCCCGCCGGCCCCGCUGCACUGAGGCUUCCUCUUUGCUGUACCUGCGGUGUUUGAUGCUGUCUGUCCAUCUGGAUAUCUGCCCUAGCAUCCAUCCAUCUGCACACUCCUUUGGGGGUGCAGGGCAGGAAGGUGGGGGUGAACAGCCUGACACAGAGAGGGGGUGGGGUGGGAAGUGAUCCGCUCCAGGCCAAGCCCCAAGACAGGGGCAGCGGGAUGGGUGUGCCAGGCUGCAGCCCCCCUGUGGUGCUCUUGGGGGACUGAAGCUCCUGCCACCUCCCCAUCUCAUGCCCCUCCCAUUUUAGCUCAUCAAACGCUGGCCAACCUCUCCCAUAGCUACCCCUGAGUCCCCACAGACCCCGGGAGGUAGGAACCGUGAUGAGCCCCAUGUUACAGAAAGGGAAACUGAGGCACAGGAGGUUGAGCAUGUCACCCAUGUCACACCAAGUUGGGAUUUGAGCCUGAGCAGCCAGCCCCAGAGCCUGGCCCUGCCCGUGUGGGGAAGUAGGGAGCUCCUUCCACCCACCCAGGAAAGCAGCAUGUUUGUGGGGAGGUGACUUUGGCGUGGGCUCAGGAGGCUGGGGCUCCAGGCCUGGCUGAAGUGCUAUCAGCCAUGUGAUAAAAAGGAGUGUUCCCCUCCCCACCUCCUCCACCACGGCGCUCCAUCUCUCCCUUAGGCCCUGUCUGUGGGAGUUCUGUGUAACCUGUGUGGCAGGCACGGGGGAGAGAGGGGCAUCGGCCA
rnacentral:lncRNA from 1 species